rnacentral:rRNA from 1 species
UAAUACAGAGGGUGCAAGCGUUAAUCGGAAUUACUGGGCGUAAAGCGUGCGUAGGUGGUUCUUUAAGUCAGGUGUGAAAUCCCUGGGCUCAACCUGGGAACUGCAUUUGAUACUGAAGAGCUAGAGUGUGGUAGAGGAUAGUGGAAUUCCCGGUGUAGCGGUGAAAUGCGUAGAUAUCGGGAGGAACAUCAGUGGCGAAGGCGGCUAUCUGGACCAACACUGACACUGAGGCACGAAAGCGUGGGUAGCAAACAGGAUUAGAUACCCUGGUAGUCCACGCCGUAAACGAUGGGCACUAGACGUCGGAAGGUUUAAUCCUUUUGGUGUCGCAGCUAACGCAAUAAGUGCCCCGCCUGGGGAGUACGGCCGCAAGGUUA